ACUUUUUUUUACCAUCUUUAACUAUAAAAUCAUCAUAGAUUAAUUAGGGUCUGUGAUUCUUUCUUUUUUUACAAGAAAUACGGUUUCAAUUGAUAACCGCCAUGUAGCAUCAACUGCACGAUCCUUUAAUCUCGCCCGCCAAAAUUUUGAGCUUUCCCUCUUAAAAUCGAUAUUAAGUUUAUAGGCAUAAUUAAGCCCUAAUUUUACAGAAGUGAAUUUCACAGCAGUCAAUUUUGAGCUUUCCCUCUCAAAAUCGAUAUCUAUUGUUGCAGCAUCACAACCGUUUGCAGUCAAAUCUGAGUUUUUUCACCACUGUGCGCAGGUAUUUCCUAAGAUUCGAGGAAUACAAUGAGUUGCCCAUAAAGGAAAGGGAGGAGUGUCUCUCUUAUAAAGGAUAAGCCAAAACACAAAUUAGUACAUUUACAAAUUGAGUUUGAUGAGUUAGGUCAAACUAUCGGAAAUAACAGAUUUGAAUUCACCACCUAUUGUGGAGUCACUGUGAGAACUAGGAUUUCUAUCCUAAAACAGUGGAAUGAAGUGCCUCAACCUGAGAUUGAUGAGUUGUGGUUAAAUAUUAAGGUACUUAAAGUUUGCAAUCAACAAUGGAGGAGCUACAAGUCCAAGCUUGUCAAGUUCAUGGACAGACGCAUUGAUCCGUUAGAAAAAUACCCCUACCUAGACAAAGACAUGUGGAAUGAUUUUGUAAAGCAAAAGUCCAAGCCCGAAUUUAAGGAAAUAAGAGUGAAAGCAACAGCAAGUGUGAUGAUGAACAAGAACCCGCCCCGUUUAGGCCCACAAGGGUAUCGUGGCAUGCGACCUUGAUGGGAGCAAGAGAUGGAGUCUGGUGUAUUGACAAAAGCCCACCA